CUUCACAGUAAAAGAAACGACGAAGACCAGGGGUGCAUUUCUUUAUUCUAUGACUUUCACUGGUUUAACUGAAACCGGUCUGAUUCGUGAUCGGUAGUGAGUUUGGUGAAGCAGGAGAUAACGAAACGUUCCAGUGAAUGACCACUAUGGCGUCAGUUAAAGAAAUAGCAACUUUAGCUAUUAUGGAAUGUUGCGAUAGCGGAAAAAUAUGUAAACUUUUUACAGCUAUGGACGUGGAAGAAGAAGGAAGUUUAAGUGAAUCUUUAAAAAGAACAAUAGAUUUAUUUAAAGGUAUUGUGAGGAUCCAGUGUGAGGAUCGCGGCCGAAUACGAAUGUUUUACGGUUGUAUGUCAGUG
rnacentral:lncRNA from 1 species